UUCUACCUUCAUAGUAAGUUAUUCCUGUUGGUGGAGCUUGAGUAAAACUGAAAAAUAUUUUAAAGGCAGUUAAAUGAGACAAUAUUAAAAAUAGAGUCCUGGGUCAGUGCCUGGCACCAAAGAUGACCUAAUUAUUAUCAUCAGAACCACUGAAAAUGCUUUAUAAGCUUUUCUUAAUUAAGAAUAAUCCUUUAAGUACAAUAUUGAUUGAAGAAAAUCAAAUUAUACUGGUAACUGAAAUUCAAGACAAAAAUAAUGUAUGUAAACACUAAACUCUAGUCAAUAAAUUUGUUUCUUGCAGGAGUACAGGCUACCAAUUCUGAAUAUACGUGUAUACUGGGGUUGAACAAAUAAAUACAGGAAUGAUGGAAUGUAAGAGCCAGGUUUCUCAGUGCUGGAGAGAGAAAUUAUAGCAGCAUUAUUCCACAAUAGCCGAAAGACAGAAGCAGUCCAAGUCUCCAACAAUGGAUGAAUGCAUAAAGAAAAUGAUACAUGUACAUACAAUGUAAUAUUAUUCAGCCUGAAAAAAGAAGGAAAUUCUGACACAUGAUGCAACAUGGAUGAACCUUGAAGACUUAUAGAAAAAUGAAGAAAAUCUAACAAGAAUAAGCUUUGAAAAUAUUCUAGAGGAGCAAAGACUUUAAAGCUUUUAGAAGAGUUUAUAAAUUUGUUUUCCAGAGGAUACAGAGCAAAGUCACAUAAAGGGUGAACACUCUCAAGAGUGAGAUUGUAGGGGCCAGUGUAUAAUUUGUUUUCCUGAAGUUCUACUCAGCUGUUCCAAAGCAGCAGUACUAGUUUGCACUUUCAGUGGCAGUGCCUGAAGGUUCCUGUCAGUCAACCACUCACUAACACUUGAUGUUACCAGGCUUUCUAAUUUGUCCUAAUCAGGCUUCUGACCAACCAGAGAAGUCAUUCACUACUACCAAUGAGCAAGUAUUCUUACCUCAGGCUACUUCUCUUUACAUACUAAGUGGACGAGCACAUUCAACCUGAGCUCUGACCUUUGGGAGGAUUUCUCCUUGGAGGAUUACCUGUCUUUCAGCACCACCUGAGUAUGGAGUUAAUAUAGCAACAAUCCAUUUUUAACUUGCAUCUAUUUACAAGACUGCACCUGCACCAGAGCUCUUUCCUGAGUCCCAUUCAAAGCUGGCAGCAUCACCUGGUAUAUGGGUCAGGUCUGUGUUCAAAGUAUGCCAUAUGGUUCUUUAAAUCCAUGUAAGGAUCAGCACGUCUGUCGUGUGAUCUACAAACUACACAAAAGUGGGGGAGAGGGACAUAAGAAGACCUGAAAGAGGCUUAAGUGUCCUUUGGAAUCUCUAAAGAAAAAUGAAGUAAGAGUCUGUAUACCAAGCAGGAUACCUCACACUCCAACCAUUAGGUAUGUAACUGCUUUCUGUGAAUCAAAGUUUUCACAACAUCAAUCUAUACCUUACCAGAGCUGGUCAAAGACGGCUAUAGCCACAGGUCGCUGACCCUAUCCCUUAACUACU